GGGCUCAGUGGGGCCGCACCUCAAGGGCUGACCCCUGGCCCUGGGGGGCCGCGCACCCCCUCUUCUCGUGCAGGCCUGUGCGCGGGAAGGCGGGGCUCGGGGACGUGCUCUGUGCGGGAGUGGGGGACUUGGAGGCUCAGGUGCCGGCUCCCAGGAAUGCGGUCCACGCCCCGGGCUGCGGCUGGGCGGUGAGGUUGGGGGAGGAAGAGCAGAGUCAUUCCUUAGUUUCCUGGGUUGGGCCCGGCUUUGCCUUCAGUUUCUUUGUGUGUGUUUUUUGUUUGUUGUUUUUUUUUUAUGUCACUUACCUAGAUAUUACAACUACAGGUGUCUCUCCAAAAAUGUAUACACACGUUGAAUAAUUAUUAAUUCCAAUGGGUUAAAUACAAAAAGAAAGAAACAUCAAUUGAGCUAUCAAAAAAUGUAUGUGUAUACAUUUGGGGGGGUACCCCCUAAUGAUGUUGUUUUAAAUGUAAUCGGUUCUUUUCUGCUUUUUUUUUUAAGCCCAACGCAUAGUAGAGAAAAAGGGGGGUCCCUGGUCUCCCCACCAGUCUAAACUGUUUUUCCUUGAAUAUACUUACAUGCUAUUUUACAGACAUGGGAAUAUACCCAUGCCAUCCACAAUCAGCUAGGUGGCCACAUUCUCCAGUUCUGUGGCUGCUCUGUGUGGACAGCCCUGGGCUGACCCCUCCCCUGGGCCCAGCUGCUGCUGCAGACCAGCUUCACUGAGGUGGUUUAACCUGGGAAAUCUGGAAUCUGUGGAGUCAGCCUGGGGACAAAACAGAGAGACCUGGGUUUGAAUUCUGGUCUAGCCAAUCUCCACUUCUCGGUGGAAAAAGCACAUGUGGCAAGAAAAUGGGAUCUCCCUACAGCCAUGGGAGGCAGCCAUCCCAGCAGUGGAUCAGCAGCCCCAGUCGCGGCCUUGAGAUGACUGCAGGCCUGGUCAGUAUCCUGAGGAAAGUCUCCUGAGAAACACCGAACCCAAAUCACUCAGCUUAGUUGCUCCUGAAUUCCUGACCCACAGAAGUUAUGAGAUUUAAAAAAAUCUGUAUUUUUUUUAAAGCUGCUAACUUAUACAAUAUUUGGUUAGCAGCAAUAGCUCUCUAAUACUGAAGCAUCCAUCUUAUAUAAAAACGGCUGUUUGAAAUUUUAACCCUGCUAUUUCUGGCUUCUGUAAAUGCUUGCUG